GCAGGCUGCAACCCGCCUGUAUGAAGUUGGAAUCGCUAGUAAUCGCGGAUCAGCAUGCCGCGGUGAAUACGUUCCCCGGGCCUUGUACACACCGCCCGUCAAGCCAUGGGAGCCGGGGGUACCUGAAGUGCGUAACCGCGAGGAGCGCCCUAGGGUAAAACUGGUGACUGGGGCUAAGUCGUAACAAGGUAAC
rnacentral:rRNA from 1 species